UGGGGAAUAUUGCACAAUGGAGGGAACUCUGAUGCAGCGACGCCGCGUGAACGAAGAAGGCUUUCGAGUCGUAAAGUUCUUUUAUAUGGGAAGAUAAUGACGGUACCAUAAGAAAAAGCCCCGGCUAACUACGUGCCAGCAGCCGCGGUAAUACGUAGGGGGCUAGCGUUGUCCGGAAUCACUGGGCGUAAAGGGUUCGCAGGCGGAAAUGCAAGUCAGGUGUAAAAGGCAGUAGCUUAACUACUGUAAGCAUUUGAAACUGCAUAUCUUGAGAAGAGUAGAGGUAAGUGGAAUUUUUAGUGUAGCGGUGAAAUGCGUAGAUAUUAAAUAGAAGACCGGUGGCGAAGGCGACUUACUGGGCUCAUUCUGACGCUGAGGAACGAAAGCGUGGGUAGCAAACAGG
rnacentral:rRNA from 1 species